UACAGAGGUCUCGAGCGUUAGGCGGAAUCACUGGGCCUAAAGCGUGUGUAGGCGGGUCGUUAAGUGCCUUGUGAAAUCCCAUGGCUCAACCAUGGAACUGCUGGGCAUACUGGCGAUCUUGUGCCACCUAGGGGCGAGCGGAACAGAUGGUGGAGCGGUGAAAUGCGUAGAUAUCAUCUGGAACGCCAAUGGUGAAAACAGCUCGCUGGGGGUGUGCAGACGCUGAGACACGGAAGCCAGGGGAGCGAACGGG
rnacentral:rRNA from 1 species